rnacentral:lncRNA from 1 species
AUUUCAACCAGCUAUCUCCGUGUUCCCCACAAGCCCACUCUGCUGGCGAGAGUCAACAGGCCGGUCAACACUAUGUGCAUGGCUGACUUCAGGGUUUAUUUUAUAGUGCGUCGAUUCGCUCAACUGUCGUUUUCACACUUGCUCAUUAACAGACUCCAUGCAAGGGAAAUCAACUGAAGACGAUUGUCUUUCACAGACCUCAAUAAAGAAGCUAGGAGACACUUGGGCUCCGUAACGGUUUCUCUGUGCAGCCCUGGCUGUCCUGGAACUUGCACUGUAGACCAGGUUAGCCUUGAACUCACAGAGAUCUACUUGCCUCUGCCUCCCAAGUGCUGGGAUCAAAGGUAUGCACCACCGCUGUCCAGCUCAAAUAGUUCCUUUUAAAAUCUUUAGUUCUUAUAAGGACACAGAUUUUUAUCUUUUCCUUAAUU